UACAGAGGUCUCAAGCGUUGUCCGGAAUCAUUGGGCGUAAAGAGCGUGUAGGCGGCGGGGUAAGUCUGGUGUGAAAUCUCGGAGCUCAACUCCGAAAUUGCACUGGAUACUGCUCUGCUAGAGGGCUGGAGAGGAGAUCGGAAUUCACGGUGUAGCAGUGAAAUGCGUAGAUAUCGUGAGGAAGACCAGUGGCGAAGGCGGAUCUCUGGACAGCUCCUGACGCUGAGGCGCGAAGGCUAGGGGAGCAAACGGG
rnacentral:rRNA from 1 species